rnacentral:lncRNA from 1 species
GUCGACAAGUGAAUGAACAUUUUAAAGCAAAAAUGAGGUCUCUAGGUGAAAGUAUGCUGAAGUUAUAAGGUCUAGAAGGUGGAAGAAUAAAAGGAAGGAGUGGAAGAUUUCCCCAUUGACUUCAAUGUUAAAAUUUUUGCACAAAAAGUUAAAAAAAACAAAAAGUAUAAAAGGUAGAAAGGUAAAAAAUACAAGCACACAUGUCCUGAAGGAGUGGAAUAGUUUAAAGUUUGAACGGUUGAAAUCGCACAAAGUUUGAAGGAGUUGAAAAGCGACAAAAAACGGCGGAAGAAUAAUAAUAAUAAUAAUAAUAAAGAAACAGGAGAAUAACAAUAAGUGGAAAUGCCUAUCAGCAUUUCCACUUAACUAGAAAAAUUGCAUUUCCUUGCAGAAAAUGCGUGGAAAUGCUGAGUGCUGAAAGCUGAAAAAGCAAUGCUAAACUGCUAAUAAAACAUGGAGAAAGGUAUAAAUGUUAAAGCUGUUGAAGGAAUGAAAAAGAAAAAUAAGUUGGAUAACUACUUAAUUGGUUGAAGGACAAAUAGUAUGAAUAUGCUCUAUAAAAGGAAAUUUUAUUCAUGCUGAAAGAGGCUAGAAAAAUGUCUAAAAUUGCACAAAGUUUGAAUGAAGAAGGAAAUUGCCUUAAAAGGCAGGAAGGUGAGAAGUGGCAUAAGUUUAAAUUGUAGUAUAAGAAGUCAAGUCGUGAUACUAGUAGUCAUGUCAGCAGUAGAAGUAGAUUGAGAAUAAAAGAAGUAUAAGUCAAAGUAGUAAAGAAAGUAGAAAUAGGAGCAAUAGCAGUUGAAGUAGAGGGGAAAGUUCUAGUUUAAUUGACAUUAGCAGUAGUUGUCGUACUUGAGGUAGGAUUUUGUUUGAAUGAUGGAGUAAUGCAUAAAUAUUAAAACUAAUUUAAAACAGGGAAAAUUUAAAUUAUCAAAAGUCCUCAAGUAUCAGAAAGUUUUGAAGUAUUAGAAAGGUUUGAAUCAGUUUGAAUGAGUUUAAAUUACUUUGAAAAAUUAAAUGAUAAAUCAUCACUGACUGAGUUUUAAAAUGUGAAAAAUUUAAAUGAAUAACAAUCCUAAAUACACCCAAUAAUGUCCUCAAUGAGCUUAAAUUUUAAAGCCCUGAAUGGUUUCUGUAGGUCAAAGGUCAUGUGAGGAGAUAGGGGCUGAAGUUUUUUCCAACGCUCUAGGAAAGGGUUUUAAGUGUCAUCCCAAUUGCUAUGUGUACUGAGCCUGGCUUCAUGUGUCUCAUAUGGCCACUAGAAGCAGCUUUCCAGUCAUCUGUGUGUCUCCAGGUGCACAAAUUGGUUGCCAUGGGGACCUUGGAUGCAUAACUAUAGCAGGAGAAAGAAGGCUUGAAGCUAAAGAAACAGGACUCCAAGUAGGCCCUGACGCUCACCCUCUGUAUAUAUUCAUAAGGAGCUUGUGAGAACACAAGAUUUUGCUGAACACAUUAAUACAAUUUAUUAUCACAAUCCUCAAAACACCCCAUAAUAUCUUCAAUGAGCUGAAUUUUUCAAGCCCAGAAUGGUUUCUGUAGCUCAAAGUUUGUGGGUGGAGAUAGGUGGUGAAGCAGACACAUAUUAUCUGUGUGUACAAGCAGGUGAACUGCAAGGUAGACCUGACAAUGCAACAAGUACAAGAAUGUGUGUGUGUGUGUGUCUCGUUAAUGACUGCAUCCCUAACAGCUGUGAGAUCAAAGGCAAAUCACUGACCUACUGUUUGAAUGAGAAGCAGCUGAACAGCAGAGGAUUUGAAGCCUGUGAACUUCUUCACAUAGCGUGAUUUCCUUAAGUCCCAGAAUGAAAAUAAGAACAUCGUACGAAUCCUCCGUCCUUCAUGAACACAAUGAUGUGGUUUUCAUGUAUGUACUCCGAAAAAUGUGGCCACAACAGCGAGUUAAAAAAGUCUGAGCCUGAGUGGGGAUAAGGAUUUUCUUGGAGAAGAAAUACAUUAGGUCUAAUGGGGAGAGAUUUCCGCCUAUUUGGACAGUUGGUCACCUGCUGGCCAAGGGGUAGGAUUUAAUGAUUUGAAACCUCUUUUGUGAGAAGCAGGACACAUAUACCUCCAUUUUGAUGUAUUAUUUAUGGCUCUGGAGUGAGAUUUGUGGGCGUGGGAGCGAUAUAUUCGAGCGAGGUUCUGUCGAUCAGAGACGAGGUCUGCACUCUAGCUGAUGACAUCAUCACUCUAAGCUCUCCAAUACACACCCAUUAUAAAGCCUGAAAUUUGCUGAAAACCACGAGUUGCAUAAAGCUAAAUUGUGGAAAAACUGUAAAAGAUAGCACAAAAAGGUUAAUACAAUAUCAAUAGUCGACAAGACAAUGAACAUUUCAAAGCAAAAAUGAGACAUCUAGGUGAAAGUAUGCUGAAGUUAUAAGGCUUAGAAGGUGGACGAAUAACAGGAAGAAGUGGAAGAUUUCCCCAUUCAUUUCUAUGGGAAAAAAAGUUUGGCACAAAAAGUGAAAAAUAAUAAAAAGUAUAAAGGGUAGAAAAGAGAAAAGUAAUAGCCAUCAUGUCCUGAAGGAGUGGAAUCGUUUAAAGUUUGAACGGUUGAAAUCGGACAAAGUUUGAAGGAGGAGAAGCGGUCCAAAGAAACGUAUGGGGAGAGUGUUAAGUAUAAUACUAGAAAAAUUGCAUUUCCUUGCAGAAAAUGCGUGGAAAUGCUGAGUGCUGAAAGCUGAAAAAGCAAUGCUGAACUGCUAAUAAAACAUGGAGAAAUGUAUAAAUGUUAAAGCUGUUGAAGGGGUGUGAAAGAAAUGUAAGUUGGAUAAUUGAUUAAUUGGUUGAAGGACAAAUAGUAUGAAUAUGCUCUAUAAAAAGAAAUUUUGUUCAUGCUAAAAGAGGCUAGAAAAAUGUCUAAAAUUGCACAAAGUUUGAAUGAAGAAGGAAAUUGCCUUAAAAGGCAGGAAGGUGGGAAGUGGCAUAAGUUUAAUUUUUUAAGUAUUAGAAAGGUUUGAAUCAGUUUGAAUCAGUUCAAAUUAGUUUGAAAAAUUAAAUGAUAAAUCAUCACUGAGUGACUUUAAAAUGUGAAAAAUCUAAAUGUAUAUAAAUCCUAAAUACACCCCAUAAUGUCCUCAAUGAGCUCAAAUUUUAAAGCCCUGAAUGGUUUCUGUAGGUCAAAGGUCAUGUGAGGAGAUAGGGGCUGAAGUUUUUUCAAGCGCUCUAGUAAAGGGUUUUAAGUGUCAUCCCCAGUGCUAUGUGUGCUGAGCCUGGCUUCAUGUGUCUCAUAUGGCCAUUAGAAGCAGCUUUCCAGUCAGCUGUGUGUCUCCAGGUGCACUAAUUGGUUGCCAUGGGGACCUUGGAUGCAUAACUAUAGCAGGAGAAAGAAGGCUUGAAGCUAAGGAAACAGGACUCCAAGUAGGCCCUGACGCUCAUCCUCUGUAUCUAUUCCUGAUAAGGAGCUUGUGAGAACACAAGACUCUGCUAAACACAUUAAUACAAUUUAUUAUCACAAUCCUCAAAACACCCCAUAAUAUCUUCAAUGAGCUGAAUUUUAGAAGCCCAGAAUGGUUUCUGUAGCUCAAAGUUUGUGGGUGGAGAUAGGUGGCGAAGCAGACACAUAUUAACUGUGUGUACUAGCAGCUGAACUGCAAGGUAGACCUCAUAAAGCAACAAGUACAAUAUGUGUGUGUGUGUGUGUCUCAUUAAUGACUGCAUCCCUAACAGCUGUGAGAUCAAAGGCAAAUCACUGACCUACUGUUUGAAUGAGAAGCAGCUGAACAGCAGAGGAUUUGAAGCCUGUGAACUUCUUCACAUAGCGUGAUUUCCUUAAGUCCCAGAAUGAAAAUAAGAACAUUGUACGAAUCCUCCGUCCUUCAUGAACACAAUGAUGUGGUUUUCAUGUAUGUACUCCGAAAAAUGUGGCCACAACAGCGAGUUAAAAAAGUCUGAGCCUGAGUGGGGAUAAGGAUUUUCUUGGAGAAGAAAUACAUUAGGUCUAAUGGGGAGAGAUUUCCGCCUAUUUGGACAGUUGGUCACCUGCUGGCCAAGGGGUAGGAUUUAAUGAUUUGAAACCUCUUUUGUGAGAAGCAGGACACAUAUACCUCCAUUUUGAUGUAUUAUUUAUGGCUCUGGAGUGAGAUUUGUGGGCGUGGGAGCGAUAUAUUCGAGCGAGGUUCUGUCGAUCAGAGACGAGGUCUGCACUCUAGCUGAUGACAUCAUCACUCUAAGCUCUCCAAUACACACCCAUUAUAAAGCCUGAAAUUUGCUGAAAACCACGAGUUGCAUAAAGCUAAAUUGUGGAAAAACUGUAAAAGAUAGCACAAAAAGGUUAAUACAAUAUCAACAGUCGACAAGACAAUGAAUAUUUUAAAGCAAAAAUGAGGUCUCUAGGUGAAAGUAUGCUGAAGUUAUAAGGCUUAGAAGGUGGACGAAUAGCAGGAAGCAUUGAAAGAUUUCCCCAUUCAUUUCUAUGGGAAAAAAAGUUUGGCACAAAAAGUGAAAAAUAAUAAAAAGUAUAAAGGGUAGAAAAGAGAAAAGUAAUAGCCAUCAUGUCCUGAAGGAGUGGAAUAGUUUAAAGUUUGAACGGUUGAAAUCGAGCAAAGUUUGAAGGAGGAGAAGCGGUCCAAAGAAACGUAUGGGGAGAGUGUUAAGUAUAAUACUAGAAAAAUUGCAUUUCCUUGCAGAAAAUGCGUGGAAAUGCUGAGUGCUGAAAGCUGAAAAAGCAAUGCUAAACUGCUAAUAAAACAUGGAGAAAGGUAUAAAUGUUAAAGCUGUUGAAGGGGUGUGAAAGAAAUGUAAGUUGGAUAAUUGAUUAAUUGGUUGAAGGACAAAUAGUAUGAAUAUGCUCUAUAAAAAGAAAUUUUAUUCAUGCUAAAAGAGGCUAGAAAAAUGUCUAAAAUUGCACAAAGUUUGAAUGAAGAAGGAAAUUGCCUUAAAAGGCAGGAAGGUGGGAAGUGGCAUAAGUUUAAUUUUUUAAGUAUUAGAAAGGUUUGAAUCAGUUUGAAUGAGUUUAAAUUAGUUUGAAAAAUUAAAUGAUAAGUCAUCACUGAGUGACUUAAAAAUGUGAAAAAUUUAAAUGAAUAUAAAUUCUGAAUACACCCUAUAAUGUCCUCAAUGAGCUUAAGUUUUAAAGCCCUGAAUGGUUUCUGUAGGUCAAAGGUCAUGUGAGGAGAUAGGGGCUGAAGUUUUUUCAAGCGCUCUAGUAAAGGGUUUUAAGUGUCAUCCCCAGUGCUAUGGGUGCUGAGCCUGGCUUCAUGUGUCUCAUAUGGCCAUUAGAAGCAGCUUUCCAGUCAGCUGUGUGUCUCCAGGUGCACUAAUUGGUUGCCAUGCGGACCUUGGAUGCAUAACUAUAGCAGGAGAAAGAAGGCUUGAAGCUAAGGAAACAGGACUCCAAGUAGGCCCUGACGCUCAUCCUCUGUAUCUAUUCCUGAUAAGGAGCUUGUGAGAACACAAGACUCUGCUAAACACAUUAAUACAAUUUAUUAUCACAAUCCUCAAAACACCCCAUAAUAUUUUCAAUGAGCUGAAUUUUAGAAGCCCAGAAUGGUUUCUGUAGCUCAAAGUUUGUGGGUGGAGAUAGGUGGCGAAGCAGACACAUAUUAACUGUGUGUACAAGCAGCUGAACUGCAAGGUAGACCUCAUAAAGCAACAAGUACAAGAAUGUGUGUGUGUGUGUGUGUGUGUGUGUCUCGUUAAUGACUGCAUCCUAAACAGCUGUGAGAUCAAAGGCAAAUCACUGACCUACUGUUUGAAUGAGAAGCAGCUGAACUGCAGAGGAUUUAGAGGCUCUAAACUUCUUCACAUAGCGUGAUUUCCUUAAGUCCCAGAAUGAAAAUAAGAACAUCGUACGAAUCCUCCGUCCUUCAUGAACACAAUGAUGUCUUUUUCAUGUCUGUACUGCGAAAAAUGUGGCCACAACAGCGAGUUAAAAAAGUCUGAGCCUGAGUGGGGAUAAGGAUUUUCUUGGAGAAGAAAUACAUUAGGUCUAAUGGGGAGAGAUUUCCGCCUAUUUGGACAGUUGGUCACCUGCUGGCCAAGAGGCAAGAUUUAAUGAUUUGAAACCUCUUUUGUGAGAAGCAGGACACAUAUACCUCCAUUUUGAUGUAUUUUUUAUGGGUGUGGAUUGAGAUUUGUGAGCGUGGGAGCGAUAUAUUCGAGCGAGGUUCUGUCGAUCAGAGACGAGGUCUGCACUCUAGCUUUUCAAAUCAUCACUCUAGCCUCUCCAAUACACCCCUAUUAUAAAGCCUGAAAUUUGCUGAAAACCACAAGUUGCUUGAAGCUAAAUUGUGGAAAAACUGUAAAAGAUAGCACAAAAAGGUUAAUACAAUAUCAAUAGUCGACAAGACAAUGAACAUUUUAAAGCAAAAAUGAGGUCUCUAGGUGAAAGUAUGCUGAAGUUAUAAGGCUUAGAAGGUGGACGAAUAACAGGAAGAAUUGAAAGAUUUCCCCAUUCAUUUCUAUGGGAAAAAAAGUUUGGCACAAAAAGUGAAAAAUAAUAAAAAGUAUAAAGGGUAGAAAAAAGAAAAGUAAUAGCCAUCAUGUCCUGAAGAAGUGGAAUCGUUUAAAGUUUGAACGGUUGAAAUCGGACAAAGUUUGAAGGAGGAGAAGCGGUCCAAAGAAACGUAUGGGGAGAGUGUUAAGUAUAAUACUAGAAAAAUUGCAUUUCCUUGCAGAAAAUGCGUGGAAAUGCUGAGUGCUGAAAGCUGAAAAAGCAAUGCUGAACUGCUAAUAAAACAUGGAGAAAGGUAUAAAUGUUAAAGCUGUUGAAGGGGUGAAAAUGAAAUAUAAGUUGGAUAACUGUUUAAUUGGUUGAAGUACAAAUAUUAUGAAUAUGCUCUAUAAAAGGAAAUUUGACAUUAACAGUAGUUGUCGUACUUGAGGUAGGAUUUUGUUUGAAGGACGGAAUAAUGCAUAAAUAUUAAAACUAAUAUAAACAGGGAAAAUUUUAUUAAUUUAAAAUCCUCAAGUAUCAGAAAGUUUUUAAGUAUUAGAAAGGUUUGAAUCAUUUUGAAUGAGUUUAAAUUAGUUUGAAAAAUGAAAUGAUAAAUCAUCACUGAGUGACUUUAAAAUGUGAAAAAUUUAAAUGAAUUUAAAUCCUAAAUACACCCCAUAUUGUCCUCAAUGAGCUUAAAUUUUAAAGCCCUGAAUGGUUUCUGUAGGUCAAAGGUCAUGUGAGGAGAUAGGGGCUGAAGUUUUUUCCAACGCUCUAGGAAAGGGUUUUAAGUGUCAUCCCAAGUGCUAUGUGUACUGAGCCUGGCUUCAUGUGUCUCAUAUGGCCAUUAGAAGCAGCUUUCCAGUCAGCUGUGUGUCUCCAGGUGCAAAAAUUGGUUGCCAUGGGGACCUUGGAUGCAUAACUAUAGCACGAGAAAGAAGGCUUGAAUGCUAAGGAAACAGGACUCCAAGUAGGCCCUGACGCUCAUCCUCUAUAUAUAUUUAUGAUAAGGAGCUUGUGAGAACCACAAAAACUGCUUAACACAUUAAUACAAUUUAUAAUCACAAUCCUCAAAACACCCCAUAAUAUCUUCAAUGAGCUGAAUUUUUGAAGCCCAGAAUGGUUUCUGUGGCUCAAAGUUUGUGGGUGGAGAUAGGUGGCGAAGCAGACACAUAUUAACUGUGUGUACAAUCAGCUGAACUGCAAGGUAGACCUGACAAAGCAACAAGUACAAGAAUGUGUGUGUGUGUGUGUGUGUGUGUGUGUGUGUCUCGUUAAUGACUGCAUCCUGAACAGCUGUGAGAUCAAAGGCAAAUCACUGACCUACUGUUUGAAUGAGAAGCAGCUGAACUGCAGAGGAUUAAGAGGCUCUGAACUUCUUCACAUAGCGUGAUUUCCUUAAAUCCCAGAAUGAAAAUAAGAACAUCGUACGAAUCCUCCGCCCUUCAUGAACACAAUGAUGUGUUUUUCAUGUCUGUACUCCGAAAAAUGUGGCCACAACAGCGAGUUAAAAAAGUCUGAGCCUGAGUGGCGAUAAGGAUUUUCUUGGAGAAAAAAUACAUUAGGGCCAAUGGGGAGAGAUUUGCGCCUAUUUGGACAGUUGGUCACCUGCUGGCCAAGGGGUACGAUUUAAUGAUUUGAAACCUCUUUUGUGAGAAGCAGGACACAUAUACCUCCAUUUUGAUGUAUUUUUUAUGGCUGAGGAGUGAAAUUUGUGGGCGUUGGAGCGAUAUAUUCGAGCGAGGUUCUGUCGAUCAGAGACGAGGUCUGCACUCUAGCUUUUCAAAUCAUCACUCUAGCCUCUCCAAUACACCCCAUUAUAAAGCCUGAAAUUUGCUGAAAACCACGAGGUGCUUAAAGCUAAAUUGUGGAAAAACUGUAAAAGUUAGAACAAAGAGGUUAAUACAACAUCAAUAGUCGACAAGACAAUGAACAUUUUAAAGCAAAAAUGAGGUCUCUAGGUGAAAGUAUGCUUAAGUUAUAAGGCUUAGAAGGUGGACGAAUAACAGGAGGAAUUGGAAGAUUUCCCCAUUCAUUUCUAUGGGAAAAAAAGUUUGGCACAAAAAGUUAAAAAUAAUAAAAAGUACAAAGGAUAGAAAGGAAAAAAAUACAAGCACACAUGUCCUGAUGGAGUGGAAUAGUUUAAAGUUUGAACGGUUGAAAUCGGACAAAGUUUGAAGGAGGAGAAGCGGUCCAAAGAAACGUAUGGGGAGAGUGUUAAGUAUAAUACUAGAAAAAUUGCAUUUCCUUUCAGAAAAUGCGUGGAAAUGCUGAGUGCUGAAAGCUGAAAAAGCAAUGCUAAACUGCUAAUAAAACAUGGAGAAAGGUAUAAAUGUUAAAGGUGUUGAAGGGGUGAAAAAGAAAUAUAAGUUGGAUAAUGGUCUAAUUGGUUGAAGGACAAAUAGUAUGAAUAUGCUCUAUAAAUGGAAGUUUUAUUCAUGCUGAAAGAGGCUAGAAAAAUGUCUACAAUUGCACAAAGUUUGAAUGAAGAAGGAAACUGCCUUAAAAGGCAGGAAGGUGAGAAGUGGCAUAAGUUUAAGUUGUAGUACUAGAAGUAGUAUAAUAGGUCAAGUCGUGAUACUAGUAGUCAUGUCAGCAGUAGAAGUAGUUUGAGAAUAAAAGAAGUAUAAGUCACAAUAGUAGAGAAAGUAGAAAUAGGAGCAAUAGUAGUUGAAGUAGAGGGGAUAGUACUAGUUUAAUUGACAUUAGCGGUAGUUGUCGUACUUGAGGUAGGAUUUUGUUUGAAGGAUGGAGUAAUGCAUAAAUAUUAAAACUUAUUUCAAACAGGGAAAAUUGAAAUAAUUAAAAAUCCUCAAGAAUCAGAAAGUUUUUAAGUAUUAGAAAGGUUUGAAUCAGUUUGAAUGAGUUUCAACUAGUUUGAAAAAUAAAUGAUAAAUCAUCACUGAGUGACUUUAAAAUGUGAAAAAUUUAAAUGAAUAUAAAUCCUAAAUACACCCCAUAAUGUCCUCAAUGAGCUUAAAUUUUAAAGCCCUGAAUGGUUUCUGUAGGUCAAAGGUCAUGUGAGGAGAUAGGGGCUGAAGUUUUUUCAAGCACUCUAGGAAAGGGUUUUAAGUGUCAUCCCCAGUGCUAUGCGUACUAAGCCUGGCUUCAUGUGUCUCAUAUGGCCAUUAGAAGCAGCUUUCCAGUCAGCUGUGUGUCUCCAGGUGCACUAAUUGGUUGCCAUGGGGACCUUGGAUGCAUAACUAUAGCCGGAGAAAGAAGGCUUGAAGCUAAAGAAACAGGACUCCAAGUAGGCCCUGACGCUCACCCUCUGUAUAUAUUCAUAAGGAGCUUGUGAGAACACAAGACUCUGCUGAACACAUUAAUACAAUUUAUUAUCACAAUCCUCAAAACACCCCAUAAUGUCUUCAAUGAGCUGAAUUUUUGAAGCCCAGAAUGGUUUCUGUAGCUCAAAGUUUGUGGGUGGAGAUAGGUGGUGAAGCAGACACAUAUUAACUGUGUGUACAAGCAGCUGAACUGCAAGGUGGACCUCAAAAAGCAACAAGUACAAGAAUGUGUGUGCGUGUGUGUGUGUGUGUCUCGUUAAUGACUGCAUCCUAAACAGCUGUGAGAUCAAAGGCAAAUCACUAACCUACUGUUUGACUGAGAGGUGCUGAACUGCAGUGAAUUUCAGCCUCUGAACUUCUUCACAUAGCGUGAUUUCCUUAAGUCCCAGAAUGAAAAUAAGAACAUCGUACGAAUCCUCCGUCCUUCAUGAACACAAUGAUGUGUUUUUCAUGUCUGUACUCCGAAAAAUGUGGCCACAACAGCGAGUUAAAAAAGUCUGAGCCUGAGUGACGAUAAGGAUUUUCUUGGAGAAGAAAUACAUUAGGGCCAAUGGGGAGAUAUUUGCGCCUAUCUGGACAGUUGGUCACCUGCUGGCCAAGGGGUACGAUUUAAUGAUUUGAAACCUCUUUUGUGAGAAGCAGGACACAUAUACCUCCAUUUUGAUGUAUUAUUUGUGUCAGUGGAGUGAGAUUUGUGGGCGUGGGAGCGAUAUAUUCGAGCGAGGUUCUGUCGAUCAGAGACGAGGUCUGCACUCUAGCUGAUGACAUCAUCACUCUAAACUCUCCAAUACACACCCAUUAUAAAGCUUGAAAUUUGCUGAAAACCACAAGUUGCUUAAAGCUAAAUUGUGGAAGAACUGUAGAAGAUAUCAAAAAACCGAGUACAACUUUGAUAGUCAACAAGUGAGUGAACAUUUUAAAGCAAAAAUGAGGUCUCUAGGUGAAAGUAUGCUGAAGUUAUAAGGUCUAGAAGGUGGAAGAAUGAAAGGAAGAAGUUGAAGAUUUCCCCAUUGACUUCAAUGUUAAAAUUUUUGCACAAAAAGUUAAAAAAAUCAAAAAGUAUAAAAGGUAGAAGAGUGAAAAGUAAUAGCCAUCAUGUCCUGAAGGAGUGGAAUAGUUUAAAGUUUGAACGGUUGAAAUCGGACAAAGUUUGAAGGAGGAGAAGCGUUGCAAAAAAGGGACGGAAGAAUAAUAAUAAUAAUAAUAAGUUUAAUAAAGAAACGGGAGAAUAACAAUAAGUGGAAAUGCCUAUCAGCAUUUCCACUUAACUAGAAAAAUUGCAUUUCCUUGCAGAAAAUGCGUGGAAAUGCUGAGUGCUGAAAGCUGAAAAAGCAAUGCAAAACUGCCAAUAAAAAAUGGAGGAAGGUAUAAACGGAAAAACUGUAGAAAAGGUGGAGUAGAAGAAGAAGAAAUUGUAUCAAUGGAAGAAUUGUAGUAUAGCUGGAGGUAAAUUAGUUGGAUUAAUGUACAAAUUGUCUGAUAGCCUAAGUGAAAAAUGUAUAUGAUUGAUGUGAAUAAACAGAACUGAUAUGGAUAAUUGAAUUUGAAAAACAAAUGCCUUUAAACAAUGUGUAACAAUGUUCCUAUUAAAUGUACAAAUAGUAAAACAGAUUUUUGCAGUCUGCAGCAUCCAACCAUAGUAACUUGAGAAUGCAGAACAGCACCAUUUAUUGCCCUGCUUCAGUUACUGCCCUACAUCUGAAUGCAGAAAGUAUGAAACAGCUGAAGUUAAAUUAAUUGUAUAAAUGUAGAAAGUAUAGAAAAGAAAAGCAGAAGUAGAAGAAAAAGAAGAAGUUAGUAUGUUAAAAGAGUUAAAGACAAGAACUGUAACAACAAAGUUCAUAUUGGGGCUGUAUUUUCUACUGACAGAGUGACAGUAAUGCACACAUGGAAACAGUGUGUGUGUGUGUGUGUGUGUGUGUGUGUGUGUGUGUGUGUGUGUGUGGCCGCGCGCGCGCGCGGCCGAGCCCGUGCGUGUGCAUAUGCGUGUGUGAUCGAAGCACACAGCCCAUGACAAGUGCAGAAUCUGACAGAGAGACAGUAAGAGAGAAAGAGAGACAUUAAUGCACUCAUGGAAACAGUGUGUGUGUAUGUGUGUGUGCCCGCGCGCGCACGAGCGGCCAAGUCCGUGCGUGUGCGAUCGAAGCACACAGCCCAUGACAAGUGCAGAAUCUGACAGAGAGAUAGUAAGAGAGACAGUAAUACACUCAUGGAAACAGUGUGUGUGUGUGUGUGUGUGUGCGUGUGUGUGUGCCCGCGCGCGCACGAGCGGCCGAGUCCGUGCGUGUGCAUGUGCGUGUGCGAUCGAAGCACACAGCCCAUGACAAGUGCAGAAUCUCUGGCUCUGAAGGAAUGUACUCACCUCCUGGGCAAGCUGUACAAUUUCAUGACUUCAGACCGAUUUUGUGAGAAGCAGGACGAGUGUACCUCCAUUUUGAUGUGUUUUUUAUGGCUGUGGAGUGAAAAUUGCGGCCGCAGCAGCAAAAUAAUCAUGCUUGGUCUAGUGAAUCCAAAAGGCCCCGCCCGCAUCUAGUGAUGACGUAACAUCUGACGUCACACGCUGUAGCGUGAGUCAGGCUGAAAAAGGCAGAGAACUUCAUGUUGCUCCAAGCGAAAUUGUGCAAAAACGGUAGGAAAUAGCAAAAAGGAGUGAAUACAACAUUUGUAGCAGACACGUUGCUGAACAUUUUAAAGCAAAAAUGAGGUCUGUAGGUGAAAGUAUGCAGAAGUUAUAAGGGUGAGAAGGUGUUAUAGCUGUAUCUCCAUUCAUUUGUAAUGGAACAAAUUUUGCAGAAAAAGUGAAAUAUUGCAAAAAGUAUAAAUGGUAGAAAGGUGAAAAGUAAUAGCCGUAAUGUCCUGAAGGAGUGCAUUAGUAUAAAGUUUGAAUGGUGAAAAUAGCACAAAGUGGUGAGGAGUUGAAAAGGGCCAAAAAAGGUACGGAAGAAUAAUAAUAAUAAUAAUAAUAAAGAAAUAGUAGAAUAACAAUAAGUGGAAAUGCUGUGUCAGCAUUUCCACUUAACUAGAAAAAUUGCAUUUCCUUGCAGAAAAUGCGUGGAAAUGCUGAGUGCUGAAAGCUGAAAAAGCAAUGCUAAACUGCUAAUAAAACAUGGAGAAAGGUAUAAAUGUUAAAGCUGUUGAAGGGGUGAAAAAGAAAUAUAAGUUGGAUAAUAGUUUAAUUGGUUGAAGGACAAAUAGCAUGAAUAUGCUCUAUAAAAGGAAAUUUUAUUCAUGCUGAAAGAGGCUAGAAAAAUGUCUAAAAUUGCACAAAGUUUGAAUGAAGAAGGAAAUUGCCUUUAAAGGCAGGAAGGUGAGAAGUGGCAUAAGUUUAAGUUGUAGUACUAGAAGAAGUAUGAUAAGAAGUCAAGUCGUGAUACUAGUAGUCAUGUCAGCAGUAGAAGUAGAUUGAGAAUAAAAGAAGUAUAAGUCAAAGUAGUAAAGAAAGUAGAAAUAGUAGCAAUAGCAGCAGUAGAGAAAGUAGAAAUAGGAGCAAUAGCAGUUGAAGUAGAGGGGAAAGUUCUAGUUUAAUUGACAUAAGUAGUUGUAGUACUAGAGGUAGGAUUUUGUUUGAAGGACGGAUUAAUGCAUAAAUAUUAAAACUAAUAUAAAACAGGGAAAAUUUUAUUAAUUAAAAAUCCUCAAGUAUCAGACAGUUUUUAAGUAUUAGAAAGGCUUGAAUCAUUUUGAAUGAGUUUAAAUUAGUUUGAAAAAUUAAAUGAUAAAUCAUCACUGAGUGACUUUAAAAUGUGAAACAUUUAAAUGAAUAUAAAUCCUAAAUACACCCCAUAAUGUCCUCAAUGAGCUUAAAUUUGAAAGCCCUGAAUGGUUUCUGUAGGUCAAAGGUCAUGUGAGGAGAUAGGGGCUGAAGUUUUUUCAAGCGCUCUAGUAAAAGGUUUUAAGUGUCAUCCCCAGUGCUAUGUGUGCUGAGCCUGGCUUCAUGUGUCUCAUAUGGCCAUUAGAAGCAGCUUUCCAGUCAGCUGUGUGUCUCCAGGUGCACUAAUUGGUUGCCAUGGGGACCUUGGAUGCAUAACUAUAGCAGGAGAAAGAAGGCUUGAAGCUAAGGAAACAGGACUCCAAGUAGGCCCUGACGCUCACCCUCUGUAUAUAUUCAUAAGGAGCUUGUGAGAACACAAGACUCUGCUGAACACAUUAAUACAAUUUAUUAUCACAAUCCUCAAAACACCCCAUAAUAUCUUCAAUGAGCUGAAUUUUUCAAGCCCAGAAUGGUUUCUGUAGCUCAAAGUUUGUGGGUGGAGAUAGGUGGUGAAGCAGACACAUAUUAUCUGUGUGUACAAGCAGGUGAACUGCAAGGUGGACCUCAAAAAGCAACAAGUACAAGAAUGUGUGUGUGUGUGUGUGUCUCAUUAAUGACUGCAUCCCUAACAGCUGUGAGAUCAAAGGCAAAUCACUGACCUACUGUUUGAAUGACAAGCAGCUGAACAGCAGAGGAUUUGAAGCCUGUGAACUUCUUCACAUAGCGUGAUUUCCUUAAGUCCCAGAAUGAAAAUAAGAACAUCGUACGAAUCCUCCGUCCUUCAUGAACACAAUGAUGUGUUUUUCAUGUCUGUACUCCGAAAAAUGUGGCCACAACAGCGAGUUAAAAAAGUCUGAGCCUGAGUGACGAUAAGGAUUUUCUUGGAGAAGAAAUACAUUAGGGCCAAUGGGGAGAUAUUUGCGCCUAUCUGGACAUUUGGUCACCUGCUGGCCAAGGGGUACGAUUUAAUGAUUUGAAACCUCUUUUGUGAGAAGCAGGACACAUAUACCUCCAUUUUGAUGUAUUAUUUGUGUCAGUGGAGUGAGAUUUGUGGGCGUGGGAGCGAUAUAUUCGAGCGAGGUUCUGUCGAUCAGAGACGAGGUCUGCACUCUAGCUGAUGACAUCAUCACUCUAAACUCUCCAAUACACACCCAUUAUAAAGCUUGAAAUUUGCUGAAAACCACAAGUUGCUUAAAGCUAAAUUGUGGAAAAACUGUAAAAGAUAGCACAAAAAGGUUAAUACAACAUCUAUAGUCGACAAGACAAUGAACAUUUUAAAGCAAAAAUGAGGUCUCUAGGUGAAAGUAUGCUGAAGUUAUAAGGCUGAGAAGGUGGAGGAGUAAAAGGUAGAAUUUGAAGAUUUCCCCAUUCAUUUCAAUGGGAAAAUUUUUUGCACAAAAAGUCAAAAAUAUCAAAAAGUAUAAGGGGUAGAAAAGAGAAAAGUAAUAGCCAUCAUGUCCUGAAGGAGUGGAACAGUUUAAAGUUUGAACGGUUGAAAUCGGACAAAGUUUGAAGGAGGAGAAGCGGUCCAAAAAACGGCGGAAGAAAAAUAAUAAUAAAGAAACGGGAGAAUAACAAUAAGUGGAAAUGCUUAAUCAGCAUUUCCACUUAACUAGAAAAAUUGCAUUUCCUUGCAGAAAAUGCGUGGAAAUGCUGAGUGCUGAAAGCUGAAAAAGCAAUGCAAAACUGCCAAUAAAAAAUGGAGGAAGGUAUAAACGGAAAAACUG